GAUGAACGCUGGCGGCGUGCCUAAUACAUGCAAGUCGAGCGAACAGAUGAGGAGCUUGCUCCUCUGACGUUAGCGGCGGACGGGUGAGUAACACGUGGAUAACCUACCUAUAAGACUGGGAUAACUUCGGGAAACCGGAGCUAAUACCGGAUAAUAUAUUGAACCGCAUGGUUCGAUAGUGAAAGACGGUUUUGCUGUCACUUAUAGAUGGAUCCGCGCCGCAUUAGCUAGUUGGUAAGGUAACGGCUUACCAAGGCAACGAUGCGUAGCCGACCUGAGAGGGUGAUCGGCCACACUGGAGCUGAGACACGGUCCAGACUCCUACGGGGGGCAGCAGUAGGGAAUCUUCCGCAAUGGGCGAAAGCCUGACGGAGCAACGCCGCGUGAGUGAUGAAGGUCUUCGGAUCGUAAAACUCUGUUAUUAGGGAAGAACAAAUGUGUAAGUAACUAUGCACGUCUUGACGGUACCUAAUCAGAAAGCCACGGCUAACUACGUG
rnacentral:rRNA from 1 species